rnacentral:rRNA from 1 species
GGCGAACGGGUGAGUAACACGUGGGUAAUCAACCCCCGACACCGGGAUAGCCCAGGGAAACUUGGAUUAAUACCGGAUGCUCCGUCUGGCCUUCGGGCCGGCCGGAAAAGGGUAGCUUCGGCCUCCGGUCGGGGGACGAGCCCGCGGCGGAUUAGCUUGUUGGUGAGGUAAAGGCUCACCAAGGCGACGAUCCGUAGCUGGUCUGAGAGGACGGAUCAGCCACAUUGGGCACUGAGCCACGGUACCAAAUUCAUACGGGAGGCAGCAGUAGGGAAUCUUGCGCAAUGGGCGAAAGCCUGACGCAGCGACGCCGCGUGAGGGAAGAAGGCCUUCGGGUUGUAAACCUCUUUCAGGAGGGACGAAGCCACUCGGGUUAAUAGCCUAGAGGGUGACGGUACCUCCAGAAGAAGCCCCGGCUAACUACGUGCCAGCCGCCGCGG